CCUACGGGAGGCAGCAGUAGGGAAUCUUCCACAAUGGGCGAAAGCCUGAUGGAGCAACGCCGCGUGAGUGAAGAAGGUUUUCGGAUCGUAAAACUCUGUUGUAAGGGAAGAACAAGUACAGUAGUAACUGGCUGUACCUUGACGGUACCUUAUUAGAAAGCCACGGCUAACUACGUGCCAGCAGCCGCGGUAAUACGUAGGUGGCAAGCGUUGUCCGGAAUUAUUGGGCGUAAAGCGCGCGCAGGCGGUCCUUUAAGUCUGAUGUGAAAGCCCACGGCUCAACCGUGGAGGGUCAUUGGAAACUGGGGGACUUGAGUGCAGAAGAGGAAAGUGGAAUUCCAAGUGUAGCGGUGAAAUGCGUAGAGAUUUGGAGGAACACCAGUGGCGAAGGCGACUUUCUGGUCUGUAACUGACGCUGAGGCGCGAAAGCGUGGGGAGCAAACAGGAUUAGAUACCCUGGUAGUCCACGCCGUAAACGAUGAGUGCUAAGUGUUAGGGGGUUUCCGCCCCUUAGUGCUGCAGCUAACGCAUUAAGCACUCCGCCUGGGGAGUACGGUCGCAAGACUGAAACUCAAAGGAAUUGACGG
rnacentral:rRNA from 1 species